rnacentral:rRNA from 1 species
CGGAGGAAAAGAAACUAACAAGGAUUCCCUCAGUAGCGGCGAGCGAAGCGGGAAAAGCCCAAUAUGAAAAGCCUGCUUGCAGGCGUUGUAGUUGAGCAUUCUUGGGAUGUCAGUAUGGGUAAGUUGCAUGAAAAUGCAUACCGUGGAGGGUGAAAGUCCCGUCCAGCCCGCACAAGACAUUUCGUACUAGAGUGUUUCAGUCGAGUCGGGUAGCUUGGGAAUGCUGCUCUAAUUGGUGGUAAAUUUCAUCAAAGGCUAAAUAUUGACCAGAGACCGAUAGUGAACAAGUACCGUGAGGGAAAGAUGACAAGCACUUUGAAAAGAGAGUGAAAAGAACCUGAAACCGUCAUGGGGGAAGCGAAUUGCGUUGGUGAGAGUGUUGCCGUGUGUUCAGCCGAUAUUUUGUUGGUGCAUUGACACGGAGAGCCUUGUCUGUCGUGGGUUUGGAGUGGGCGAGAUUUGUAUCCACUCUGGGCUGAGGGAUCCCUUUUAUAGGUGAGGACGAUGGAAGGACGACGCGAUUCGACCCGUCUUGAAACACGGACCAAGGAGUCUAGCGCGGUUGCGAGUCGUAGGGUGCAAGCCUGAGGGCGUAGUGAAAGCGAAUCGUUGAAAACGAGCUGUUUGAGGCGGCAUGAGAUCGUUGAUUUCAAGUCUGACCUAGAGCAAUCGCGCUGGGACCCGAAAGAUGGUGAACUAUGCCCGAGUAGGGCAAAGCCAGAGGAAACUCUGGUGGAGGCUCGUAGCGGUGCUGACGUGCAAAUCGCUCGUCAAACUCAGGUAUAGGGGCGAAAGACUAAUCGAACCAUCUAGUAGCUGGUUCCCUCCGAAGUUUCUCUCAGGAUAGCGGGCCGACGAUGUGUUGUUUUGUGCGGUAAAGCGAAUGAUUAGCGCACUCGGGGACAAUUGGUCUUCGGGCGAUUCUCAAACUUUCAAUGCGCAAGGGUAUCGCUGCUUGAUUGAGCGGUACCGGUAAAAACGUCGGCCCUGUGGGCCACUUUUGGUAAGCAGAACUGGCGAUACGGGAUGAACCGUAAGUGUGGUUAAGGUGCCAAAUUGUCCGCUUAUAGAACCCACAAAAGGUGUUGAUUCAUCGAGACAGCAGGACGGUGGCCAUGGAAGUCGGAAUCCGCUAAGGAGUGUGUAACAACUCACCUGCCGAAUGAAUUAGCCCUGAAAAUGGAUGGCGCUGAAGCGGGCAACCGACACCACACCGUCUGAUAAAGAAUGACGAUCAGAUGAGUAGGAGGGCGUGGUGGUUGUUUAGAAGCAUGUGUGCGAAUACAUGUGGAACGGCCACUAGUGCAGAUCUUGGUGGUAGUAGCAAGUAAUCAAGUGAGAUCCUUGAUGGGCGACGCGGGGAAGGGUUCCAUGCGAACAUUGAUUGGGCAUGGGUGAGUCGUUCCUAAGCCGAAUGGUAAUUGCAAAAUACCGGCGAAAGGGAAGCAGGUUGACAUUCCUGCACACGGAUGUGGAGGCGGUGACGCACAUUGAGGUGAAGACGUUGGCGGUGGCACUGGGCAGAGUUGUCUUUUCUGUUUAACCUGUUCCGGAUGCUGUGUGGAAUCCAAUUGUUGGGAGAAACACGCAUUUGUGGUAAGAGCGUCGGGGUUUUUCCGGCGUCCAGAUCGCUACUGACGACCCUUGAAAAUUUACCUAAUGAAUAAAAUCCACGCCGUGGCGUACCGAUUACCGCAUCAGGUCCCCAAGGUGAACAGCCUCUGCUCAAUAUGAAUAAUGCAGGUAAGGGAAGUCGGCAAAUUAGACCCGUAACUUUGGGAUAAGGGUUGGCUCUAGUGCUACGUGGGAGUGGUUGCCCAGUGUUGAUGCCGAUGGUGAAAGCUGAUUCGGAGCGAGAGUUGGGCGUCAAAACCUGGUUUUUGUACUGAUAAGUUGAACGGUUUGUGUCGCGUUGGGCGACGCCCACAGCAUGUAGCAAACUAGAACUGCAACGGGCAAAGGGAAUCCGACUGUUUAAUUAAAACAAAGCAUUGCGAGGGCCGUGGACGGUGAUGACGCAAUGUGAUUUCUGCUCAGUGCUCUGAAUGUCAAAGUGAAGAGAUUCAAUCAAGCGCGGGUAAACAGCGGGAGUAACUAUGACUCUCUUAAGGUAGCCAAAUGCCUCGUCAUCUAAUUAGUGACGCGCAUGAAUGGAUUAACGAGAUUCCUACUGUCCCUAUCUGCUUCUAGCGAAACCACAGCCGAGGGAACGGGCUCGGCAAAAUCGGCGGGGAAAGAAGACCCUGUUGAGCUUGACUCUAUUCUAAUUUUGUGAAGCAAGUUGGGAGGUGUAGCAUAGGUGGGAGAGGCGCAAGUCUCGUCCGUGAAAUACCACUACUCCCAGUCUUGCUUUACUUACUGGGUUGGUGUAGGACAGCGUUAUCGCUUUUUUUUGGAGUCAAUGCAAUUUAGUUUGCAGACUACAGUCCAGUACACAUUUAGGAGGGGAGUUUGGCUGGGGCGGCACAUCUUCUACAAGACAACGAAGGUGUCCAAAGAUAAGCUCAGUGAGGACAGAAAUCUCACGUAGAGAAAAAGGUUCAAAGCUUGUUUGAUUUUGAUUUUCAGUGCGAGUCGAAAACGCGAAAGCGUGGCCUAUCGAUCCUUUCAUAAUUCGAGAUUUGAAGCGAGAGGUGUCAGAAAAGUUACCACAGGGAUAACUGGCUUGUGGCGGCCAAGCGUUCAUAGCGACGUCGCUUUUUGAUCCU